AAACUGGAGGAAGGUGGGGAUGACGUCAAGUCAUCAUGGCCCUUACGACCAGGGCUACACACGUGCUACAAUGGCAUAUACAAAGAGAAGCGACCUCGCGAGAGCAAGCGGACCUCAUAAAGUAUGUCGUAGUCCGGAUUGGAGUCUGCAACUCGACUCCAUGAAGUCGGAAUCGCUAGUAAUCGUAGAUCAGAAUGCUACGGUGAAUACGUUCCCGGGCCUUGUACACACCGCCCGUCACACCAUGGGAGUGGGUUGCAAAAGAAGUAGGUAGCUUAACCUUCGGGAGGGCGCUUACCACUUUGUGAUUCAUGACUGGGGUGAAGUCGUAACAAGGUAACCGUAGGGGAACCUGCGGUUGGAUCACCUCCUUACCUUAAAGAA
rnacentral:rRNA from 1 species